CCGAGACCCGCCUCCGAACCAGGCCCCACCUCCUGAGCCAGGCCCCCGCCCCCGAUUCUGACUCCGCCCUCUCUGUCCUUCGGUGGAGACUCCGGGAAAAACCUGCCUCCCAGUCUGCCCUCUCUCCGUCUGUCUGUGCUUGUUUUUCUACGUUUAUCCCUGUCGCUUUCCCCACUUAUUCUGCAGGCAUGGCGCGCCCCCAGUGCCGGCUUGGUGCCAGGGCUGGGAGAUCCGGGGGUGAAUCGUGAGCCCGGCCCACAGCGAGCUUGCAGUCUAGAGAUCAAGGCAGUCUUGUCCACAACCUGCUGUCACAUAAAGCAAAUGUAGCUGGUGUAGCACCAGGGGCUGCAAUCAAGUGCGGUGGGGCGGCAAUAGUGACCACGGAAAUAAUCAGAAUUGCUUUUAAUUCAGCUCCUACUAUAUUCCCGCAUCCCUGAGCCUCACAAUCAUCCUCCAAGGCUGCAGCAGCCCCCAUCGAGGCCACUCAUUUACAGCACAGGCCCACACAGUCUGACAAAGGACAGCUGCAAUCCUCUGUCAACUGCAGUCCUUUCCCAGGCACAUGCUGGAUUGGGAAACAGGUGGGAGAAAAGAACAGACAUUUAUCAAGCACCUACUCUGUGCCUAGCAUUGUGCUAGGUGCUAGAGAGCCAAAAAUAAAUAGCAGCUGCUCUUGUGGAGGUCACAGUCUUGGAGGAGUUAAAGACACGGAAACAAAUUACAACACAGCGUAACAGCAGUGACAGAAGCACGUAUGAUAUGGUUUGACUGUGGCCCCACCAAAUCUCAUCCUGAAUUGUAGUUCCCAUAAUCCCCACUUGUGGUGGGAGGGGCCCAGUCGGAGGUAAUUGAAUCAUAAGGGUAGUUUCCCCCAUGUUAUUCUCGUGAUAGUGAGUUCUCAUGAGAUCUGAUGGUUUUAUAAGGGGCUUCCCCCUUCACUCAGCUCUCAUUCUUCUCUCUCCUGCCACCAUGUAAAGAAGGAUGUGUUUGGUUUCCCUUCCAUCACGAUUGUAAGUUUCCUGAGGCCUCCUCAGCCAUGUGGAACUGUGAGUCAAUUAAAUCUCUUUCCUUUAUAAAUUACCCAGUCUUGGGUAUUUCUUCAUAGCAGCCUGAGAAGGGACUAAUACAACAUACGAAGUUGGCAGCAAAGUGAGUGGUGGAAAGGAGAGUCAUGGAAAAGCAAACAAGGGAGGGUUAUAACUACAGCUUGGCAUCCUCCACUAAUGUUGUAAGGUCCUGGAGCAUUUUGGCAAUGGUGCUAAAAUGAGGAUGUAAGGACAAAAUCCCCUAGAUUUUCGACAGGUGAGCUUGUGAGGUGUUG
rnacentral:lncRNA from 10 species